UUCACUGAUGGGCUUUGCAGAAGGCUUGCAGUGCUCCUUUAGGAGCUCUAUCACCCAGAGAGAGAUGUUGAAAGCACCAGUCCACAAAACGGCCAAAAGUCAGCACUGUUGCAGGCACUAACUGCAGUCCUUCUAAAGAUUUGCAGAGUAAGCAGUAUUACUUGGCUGUUAAUCCUCCUCCUCCUCGUCCUUCUUUCAUACUUCCUGCAGGAAAGACGGCGUCCACAGCUACUUUUUAUGAAGUCAAAUAUCCUGCUGUUUUCAUUCCUGGUCUGACACUUGGCUACCUGUGCUUCUCAGACAACGUUUUUGCCUCAGGACAAAACCUUGCUGCUCUAGCUCCACAAAGAGAUCCUCACAGAGAAGCUGAUGAAUUAUGGGCUAGAUAAGCAUCCAGUGAAGAGGCUUGAAAACAGGCUGAACAACUGGGCCCAGAGGGUGGUGAUCAACGGUAAGAAGUCCAGCUGGAGGCUGGUAAGUAGCCAUGUACCCCAGGCAUCAAUACUAGGUUCAAGUCUGUUCAAUGCCUUCAUUAAUCAUCCAGAGGGACCUCAAUAGGUUGGAGAAACUGGCUGACAGGAAUCUCAUGAAGUUCAAUGAAGGGGGGGUGGUAAGUUGUGCACCUGGGGAGGAACAACCCCAUGUACCAACAUAUACUGGGAGCUGACUGGCUGGAAAGCAGCUUUGCAGAAAAGGACGUGGGGCCUGCUUGAGCAGGGGGCUGGACCAGAUGAUCUCCAGCUGUCCCUUUCAACCUCAGCCACUCUGGGAUUCUGUGGCCCUUUUAGUUAGGGGGCUGUAGACUCUUGCUUCCCCAAUCACUAGUGCGGGAGUGAAAAAAUGCUUUGCCCCAAGCCCUCCAACUCAUGUUCUUAAUGAAGCUGUACUAGCAGUUCAACACUGACUUGCCUGGAUGCUGUAUUCACACUCUGUGCCCCUCACCUGUGUGGUCUGAUAUGAAGGGAUGCUUUUCUUCCUGAGACAGUAAUAGACUCGUAGCCCAUUUUCUAAAUAGUCCUUUGGCCCCUAUGAUGCAAGAGGAAUAUUUGCAUAGAGCUAAUGCAGCUAGUAUAAAAUGCAGCUGUCAUAAAUUGGACAUGUAGUUCACAUCAUGAGUUAGUUCAGUCAGAUCAGUCCAGGAGACUUGUCUAAUGAAUUUCAUUUUGCAGAACUAUCAUUUUGUUGAACAGUUGACCAUGCUUCAUAAUUAUCACGUGUUUUCGAAACCAGAACCUUUCAUUUCCACAAUUAAGUACUUGUUGAUAGAAGGAAGUACUUCAAAAAACCAAAACUGUAAAUGAAUGGUUUUACAAAGGAAGGUUUUUUUUGUUGUUAAAAUAACUGGAUAUAUAUCAUGAGUCUGAGCCUCACUUUAUUGCAAAGAUUAAACCCUAAUUCUAGGAGUCAUCACUGGUAGCUGUCAGUACUACUGAAGUGAGUUGAUAAAACCUGUGAUAAAAAGAUUCUGUAAUCAACCAAUGUUCAAGAAGUUCUCAUUCUCUUAUUUUUCAGUCCAGAAAUCAUUCUUUGUAUCGUAAGUUGUAAACCUAAAGCCAGAAAAGGAAGAGAGACCAACUUAAAUACAAAGGAAAAAUAACUGAUUUCAACUAAAACCAGGGGCAUUAUUUUUAUUGCUGUGGUAUUGCUCCUGGUCUCAGGCAGGCUAGAAAUCACUAGAUGCUGCCUGAACGCAACACAAAAUUAUAUGCCUUGAAAGAAAACCUAGCAUGAAUGUACAGAGUUUUUUAUAUUUACUGUAAAUCAGAUUCUGCUACUUUUGAAUCUCUGGGAAUAAUAUUUAAUUGUAUCAGUGAGACUUUCUGGACAUGGUAGAAGCUUUUCCAAAGUCUUGUAUUAUCAUAGUCAUUCAGGUGAGAAUGGGCCCCGGGAGGCCUCCAGUUCCUCCACCUGCUCAAGACGGGAUUGCCUAUGGGAUCAGACUGGGUAGCUUAGGGCUAUGUCCAGCUGGGUCCUGAAAAACCUCUAAGGAUAGUGACUGGCCAACACUCUUGGGCAGCUUGCUCCAUUGCUUGUCUGUCCCUGUGGGGCUGUUCUCUUGUUUUGCUUUAUGCUCGCUGUCUCUAUUCUUCCCUCUCCUAUGUGCUGCUGAGAAGAGCUUGCCUCCAUCUUCUGAACAAAUCCUUCACAGGUAGGAACGGGCUGCUACUUGUUGCCCUCCCAAAGCCAUCUUGUGUCCGGGCUGAACAUGCCCCAGUCUUCUCAGCAGUGCUGCUCCCCAGCCAGGCAGCCCCUGGCCAGUGGUGAAGCCAGGUGUUGUUUCUCCUCAGGUGCAGCACAUUGCAUUUGUCCUUUCUGAAUUUCCUAAGGCUUCCAUCAACCCACUCCUCCAGCCUGCAGAUGACAGCCCUGCCUAUGACAGUACUUAACUCAUCCCCACAUUUCGGUGUCAUCUGCACACCUCAUGAGAGUAUGCUCCAUCACUUCCUUCGGUCACUGGUAAAGGCAUAAACCACAGCAGGUCUCAGUGCAGUAGACCCCUGCACUACCCCAAUUGUUACUUACUGGUCCCCAGGUGAAGUAGGACCUAUUAACCACUGCCCUCUGAGCCUCAUCAUCCAACCCAUUUUUAACCCAUCUGGUUGUCUACCCAUCCAGACAGUAACAUCUGAACUUGGACACAAGAAUAUUUCAGGAGACAGUGUUGAAAAUCUUCCUAAAGUUCGGGUAAAUGCCAUACGCUGCUCUCCCCUCAUUCACAGCCCCACCCGGUUUAUCACAGAAGGAAAUCAGGUUAGUCGGGCAUGAUGAGAGCGUGGCAGAAUCUGGCCAUAACUGGGGAUGAGGCACAGGGCUGUUAGGAAACUGGCACUUUA